UUGGAGAAGCAAGCUAUUAAAAUUGUACAUUUCUUUAGGGAUUUCUCAAAUAUACUUCACAUCUGGUAUUUCAUUAUUUUUUUUUCCAAAAUCACGUGCAUUUUGAAGAGAUCUAAUUGGAGACCAACUACAUUUCAAUGUGAGGAAUGAUAGCCAUGGAGCUCUUUUAGACUAGAUGUGAUGAAUUAUGAUUUUUUAAGAAUGAGGACUGCCAUGGCUGCUUCACCUGUAUCCAUCCUCAGGGCCAACAACAAAAGUGAAGACUCAGUAGGCACUUAAUACAUGAAUAUACAGUGAAUAUGCAAGGGCAAUCCUAAUCCUUUCACUCACUAUGAGGGAAAUGAAUAAUCCAUAACAACUUUAGGUUACUAAUCAUGAUUUCCCUAUUUUCUAUCUGAUGUCUUUUGAAAGGCAGAGAAAGAAAAAAAAAGAAUGAAGAAUUGUAACUCUC